UACGAAGGUCCCGAGCGUUGUUCGGAAUCACUGGGCGUAAAGGGAGCGUAGGCGGCAUGGUAAGUCAGAUGUGAAAUCCCGGGGCUCAACCCCGGAACUGCAUCCGAUACUGCCUUGCUUGAGGGUUGGAGAGGUAGCUGGAAUUCUCGGUGUAGCAGUGAAAUGCGUGGAUAUCGAGAGGAACACUCGUGGCGAAGGCGAGCUACUGGACAACAUCUGACGCUGAGGCUCGAAGGCUAGGGGAGCAAAAGGG
rnacentral:rRNA from 1 species